GAUGAACGCUGGCGGCGUGCCUAAUACAUGCAAGUCGAGCGAACAGACGAGGAGCUUGCUCCUCUGACGUUAGCGGCGGACGGGUGAGUAACACGUGGAUAACCUACCUAUAAGACUGGGAUAACUUCGGGAAACCGGAGCUAAUACCGGAUAAUAUAUUGAACCGCAUGGUUCAAUAGUGAAAGACGGUUUUGCUGUCACUUAUAGAUGGAUCCGCGCCGCAUUAGCUAGUUGGUAAGGUAACGGCUUACCAAGGCAACGAUGCGUAGCCGACCUGAUAGGGGGGUCGGCCACCCGGGAACUGGAGCCCGGACCAGGCUACUAAGGGAGGCAGCAGUAGGGAAUCGUCCGCAAUGGGGGAAAGCCUGACGGAGCAACGCCGCGUGAGUUAUGAAGGUCUUCCGAUCGUAAAACUCUGUUAUUAGGGAAGAACAAAUGUGGAAGGAACUGUGCACGUCUUGACGGUACCUAAUCAGAAAGCCACGGCUAACUACGUG
rnacentral:rRNA from 1 species